GACGAACGCUGGCGGCGUGCUUAACACAUGCAAGUCGAACGAAGGGGCGAACGGGUGAGUAAUACGUGGGUAACCUGCGCUCCUUUUUGGGAUAAGCCUUGGAAACGGGGUCUAAUACCGAAUAAAGGGGGAUGGGCCCGCGUCCUAUCAGCUUGUUGGUGGGGUGAUGUCCUACCCAGGCGGUGACGGCUAGCCUGCCUGAGCGGGUGAACGGCCACAUUGGGACUGACUUGCGGCACGGAGUCGUACGGGAGCCAGCAGUGGGGGUUAGUGCACCAUGGGCGAAAGCCUGAUGCACCGACGCCGCGUGGGGGAUGAAGUCUUUCGGGUUGUAAAGCUCUUUAGAUAUGGAACGGGUAGGUGGACAAGAAGCGCCGGCUAACUACGUGCCAGCAGCCGCGGUAAUAC
rnacentral:rRNA from 1 species